AUGUUUCUGAUAGUUUCUGUACUCAUGUUUUUCGUUGGACUUCAUUGUAGAUUGCCAUCUCUGCUUCCAACACUGGUGGUGCUUGGGACAAUGCCAAGAAGUACAUUGAGGCGGGUGCUUCUGAGCAUGCGCGAACCCUUGGUCCCAAAGGAUCAGAUGCACACAAGGCAGCUGUUAUUGGUGACACCGUUGGAGACCCUCUGAAAGACACAUCUGGACCUUCACUCAACAUCCUCAUCAAGCUAAUGGCUGUUGAAUCACUCGUGUUUGCCCCGUUUUUCGCUACACAUGGUGGCAUCCUCUUUAAGAUAUUAUAGAUCAUUGGAUCAAAUGUGGAUGGUCUACUGGUUACCGUCUGCCGGAUCUUUGUUCCUCCCUCCACAUGUUAAAAACUAUUAUGUACUUUGUAGUUCAUGGUUGACUCUUUAAUUGGCUGCAAAUUUCCCUCCCAAGGGGUUGAUGACAAGGACGAGGACGAUGACGAUGACCACGAGGAGUCGGUGCUAGGAAGAGUUGGUAACUCGAUUUCUUUUUGGGUCUUGGUAGAUCAAUUCAUUUCUGAAUCCCUUACGUUCCUUCUCUCCUUUUGUUCUGUAAUAGAUUUUGAGUCCUGGUAGUGUAAUCUGGGUUCUUACCUAAUUGGUCUAGAUGCUACAUAUUGUUCUCUUUUUACUAAAUAUCAUAUCGAAGAACCUGAAAAACUUCAAAACU